rnacentral:rRNA from 1 species
UACCUGCAGCUCGAGUGGUAACCGCUAUUAUUGGGCCUAAAGCGUCCGUAGCCGGUUUGGUAAAUAUCUGGGUAAAUCGUGAGGCUUAACUUCACGAAUUUCGGAUAGACUGCCAGACUUGGGAUCGGGGGAGGUCAGAGGUACUCCAGGGGUAGCGGUGAAAUGUUGUAAUCCUUGGAGGACCACCGGUAGCGAAGGCGUCUGACUAGAACGAGUCCGACGGUGAGGGACGAAGCCCUGGGGCGCAAACCGGAUUAGAUACCCGGGUAGUCCAGGGUGUAAACUAUGUGGGCUUUGUAUUGGAGGUCCCACGUGGGCGUCCAGUGCAGAAGAGAAGUUGUUAAGCCCACCGCCUGGGAAGUACGGUCGUAAGGCUGAAACUUUAAAGGAAUUGGCGGGGGAGCACAGCAACGGGAGGAGCGUGCGGUUU